AUAAACGCAAAGAUCAGGAACAGUAGGGAAUUCACCCGGCAUACAGAGAGCUGCGGGACGGUGCAACGCAGCGGAAGGGAACCCGAAACUCGCCUGGGAGCGGACAUGUGGAAGGAUCGGCCUAAGUCCGAUCAGUACACUUGUACGGUGAACCUCCGUGACAAGGUGUAAAGCGGAUAUUCCCCUUCUGGUAUGGAGGCAGGGACAUCAACAAGAGUGGUACCGCGGAAGGCCAUCGUGCCCGCCGUCUCUUAU
rnacentral:ncRNA from 1 species